rnacentral:tRNA from 1 species
GCGGCAGUGGCGGAAUUGGCAGACGCGCUAGAUUCAGGGUCUAGUGAACUUUGGGUUCGUGGGGGUUCAAGUCCCUUCUGCCGCACCA